GCGCACCAGGCAAGAAUCUUCGGCAAUGGGGGAAACCCUGACCGAGCGACGCCGCGUGUGGGAUGAAGGCCCUUGGGUUGUAAACCACUGUCAGAGGGGAUGAAAUGCCGGAAAGUUAUCUCUCCGGUUUGACAUAGCCUCAGAGGAAGCACGGGCUAAGUUCGUGCCAGCAGCCGCGGUAAGACGAACUGUGCAAACGUUAUUCGGAAUCACUGGGCUUGAAGAGUGCGUAGGCGGUUUCGUAAGUAGGGUGUGAAAGCCCCCGGCUCAACCGGGGAAUUGCGUCCUAAACUGCGAGGCUGGAGUGAGGUAGGGGUGUGUGGAACUUCCAGUGGAGCGGUGAAAUGUGUUGAUAUUGGAAGGAACGCCGGUGGCGAAAGCGACACACUGGACCUUGUCUGACGCUGAGGCACGAAAGCCAGGGGAGCAAACGGGAUUAGAUACCCGUGUAGU
rnacentral:rRNA from 1 species